UUCGUGUAUGUAAUGUAUACCAAUAAUUAACUCUGAAGUGAAACAUUGAUAUCGGAGCAAAGGUUUUUUGGUUCCUGUAACUGUCUCGUAAUCUUGUGUUUGCCAAAGUUUAAUAUAUAAAUGCUUGCCAUCUCUUUUGCUGUGGCCCUGUCAAAUUUUGGCCAUCUUAAACCCUUUCCCUCCGAGUUUUGUGCUGUAACUCAUAUUAUGUGUUCUGUUAUUCGCUCCGUCCCUCUUCUGCCUCCAGUGUUGUUUUGGGAGAGUGUCCUCACAGUGGGAAGAAAACCCGAACUUGACUCGUGGAGUGCUGGGCUUUCAGAGCCGCGAAAAAGCGUCUUGGGGCCGGGCCUCUCUGAACUGGCCGUUUCUGUGUGUCCUCUGGAAGCGCCGAGCAGAUGCGCGGCCACUUGGGUGUUCCUCCGUAUUCGUGUCCACUUGCAGUUACGUGCAUUUCAGUCUCCUACAGACUUCGCUUUGUGUUCAAGGCAAGUUUGUUGGCUUUGUGUUGUUCUAAUAUACAGAUUUUCUUUCCGGGAAAAUGCUUGCAAGGUUUUGAACUUUGAAAACUAUACAUUCAAUUUUAGAAAUUUUUAUGUAAACGUAUUGAAAGUAUUUUGAGAAGCACUGCGUUUUGGAUUUGUGUUCAUAAGCCGGCUGAAAUGUUGGUAGAGGUGACAGCUGGACUGUGCGGAGCGAGCUCCGCGCCAGGCGGGCUGGUGGUCAGCGUCGGAGGACUAGACGGCCAGCCGCGGGGGCACGAGCAGGGCUCGCGCGAGGAGCGCGGUGGACUGCAGCGCACCCGGCCGGCCUGCAGCCGGAGCGCCCGUGCGGCGGCCUCUCGGAUCUCUGCGGGCGGCACCUCCUGUCGCCCAGUGUUGUCCGAGGGUCUCCCCGCCCGUGUGCGCGCGCCCCCUAAGUCCGUGGACGCCCGAGGAGGCUGCCAAACCGUGCCUACCCUUAAGGAAGCGCCGCCGGAAUUAAAGGAGAGAACGAACGAGCAGGGCCCCCGGAGCCUCACCGACGGCGCGCGGCCGGCCGGCGGCCUUUCCUCGGUGGCGGGCGGUCGGUCGGCGGUGGCUGUGCGCCCCCGGGGCGGACGCGUCAGACCGGGGCGUGGGUGCCCUCGGAGGGGGAGGGUCGGAGUCGGAGGACCGGGUGUUCGCCCCGCGGCGACGCUGGGGACGGAGCGGCCGCGGGGCGAUGGCGCGAGCAGGAGCGAGCCGGGGCUGUUCGCCGUGGCGGAGGCGGCGCCGGUUUUCCGUCUCGGAGGAGGCCGCGCUUCCGUUCCGUCGGCGGGACUUCGCGGGGCGCCCGCGGAGAAGGCGCGAACUCUGCUGAAGCAGUGUGUCCUCCCCGACUCCCCGGCGCCCUCCCGGCUGGGCAGCGCCUGCAGGGCCCGCGGAGGAGCGCCGUGGGGGACCCCGGGGCCGGCCGGCCGGGGUCCGGCGCCUCGCCGUGCGCGCGCUCCCGCAGACAAAAGAGCGAGCCGGCGCGCCGCCCUGGGAAAGCGAAACCGCGCCGGCUGUCGCUUUAAGAGAACAGCUUCCCCGGGCUCUCGGCCGCCGCCGCCUAACCUGCUAGCCAGGAAAAGUUCUUUAAAAUGACGGACGUCAGCCGCGUCCAACCGCAGCGGCCGGCCGCCGGCGCGGGGCGGGGCGUGUCCUCGGCGGCCAGUAGGCGCGCAGGGGGCGGGGCUGGCCGGCCAAGCUCGGUUGCCGCGGAGCACAGCUUCAAGUGAAGUUAAUCUGAGGGGAAGCGAACAGAAAAUUGUGGAGGUUUCGGUGAAGCAGAGGGCCUUCACCAAGAAAGGAGCAGUGUGGUGGGGCUGGAGCCGGCUUCCAGCCGACGGGGGCGGAGGGCACCGUGCCUUCAGGAGCAGCAGAGGAAGAGCGCUGCUGAGCUCUGCCGUGUGCCAGGCUCUGUGCUUCCUGACUUCCCGGAGACGCUGUCUGACGUCAUCUGGUUACACGGGCUCCGCGCACCCUCCUGGGGAGUGGAGACUUGGACAAGUUUAGGAGCGUGUCCAGGCGGUGACAGGAGAUAAAAGAAAAGACACCCAGCUGCUUCUCAGAUAAGUGACCUUGGGCAAGUUAUUAAAUCUCGUUGAAUAUCAGUUCCUCAUUUUUGAAACAGGGACACCAGUAGCCCCAAGACCAACAGCACAGGUCUCCAGAGAGAAAUAAACCAGGAGAAAUGGUUCUUGGCCCACAGUCAGCUCUGAGUAACUGCUCAGUACCAUCUUAGGGCAGAGAACAUAAUUGGCUCUUGUCCUGAUUACAAAUAGAGUGAAACCACAUUUUCUGAAUUUUCUGCAAUUCAUAGACAUUUGUUUUUAAAUUACACCAUGCUAGUGAACUUUUCUGUUUAUGUCUGAUAAUCUCAUUCUUUACUGCCUUGACUUCGCAGCUUUAUAAUGCCACAGUAUGGCAGUGGAGGAGUUGUUCUGCCUUCUCAUUCCCUUCCCUCCUGAGGGCCAGACCGAUGGCCCGCAGAGUCCUUCCCUGCCAUGAAGGCGCAGCAGUGGGCAGGCAGGACUUGGUUUUCCCACAGCUCCUCCAUCUUUGCCACCGCAGAUUGGGAUAAACUAAGGUACCCGUUUAUGGUGGUGGUUCUUUUUUGUGUCUUCAUGAGAAGGUACAUUUUAUGGCCUAAAGAUGAAUAAAUAAGGUUGUCUUUUUUUCUUCUUUUUAAAUAGCCUAUGAAAUUCUUUGUGCUUUUUACCUGCUAAGAUAAUGGUUGGUUUUUUUUUUAUAAGAAAGCUCAGCGUAUGACAAUCAUUGUUAAUUUGCUGCUGUGUGGCUUGGGGAAAUUGCUAGUGCUGUAUGUUUUUUAAUUUUAUUGCUCAGAAGCAGGUAUUGUGGAUAAAAGCUUGGUGGUCGUAUUCUAAUCUGUGAUUAUUUUU